GGAAGUGUAGCAAAGAGGGUCUAUGAAACGGACUGAGAAUCCGUAGAUGUUGGUUCGAUACCAAGCACUUCCA
rnacentral:tRNA from 1 species